ACUCCUACGGGAGGCAGCAGUAGGGAAUCUUCCACAAUGGACGAAAGUACUGAUGGAGCAACGCCGCGUGAGUGAAGAAGGGUUUCGGCUCGUAAAACUCUGUUGUUAAAGAAAGAACAUAUCUGAGAGUAACUGUUCAGGUAUUGACGGUAUUUAACCAGAAAGCCACGGCUAACUACGUGCCAGCAGCCGCGGUAAUACGUAGGUGGCAAGCGUUGUCCGGAUUUAUUGGGGCGUAAAGCGAGCGCAGGCGGUUUUUAAGUCUGAUGUGAAAGCCUUCGGCUCAACCGAAGAAGUGCAUCGGAAACUGGGAAACUUGAGUGCAGAAGAGGACAGUGGAACUCCAUGUGUAGCGGUGAAAUGCGUAGAUAUAUGGAAGAACACCAGUGGCGAAGGCGGCUGUCUGGUCUGUAACUGACGCUGAGGCUCGAAAGUAUGGGUAGCAAACAGGAUUAGAUACCCUGGUAGGAUAGCG
rnacentral:rRNA from 1 species